rnacentral:rRNA from 1 species
GACGAACGCUGGCGGCGUGCUUAACACAUGCAAGUCGAACGGAAAGGCCCUGCUUUUGUGGGGUGCUCGAGUGGCGAACGGGUGAGUAACACGUGAGUAACCUGCCCUUGACUUUGGGAUAACUUCAGGAAACUGGGGCUAAUACCGGAUAGGAGCUCCUGCUGCAUGGUGGGGGUUGGAAAGUUUCGGCGGUUGGGGAUGGACUCGCGGCUUAUCAGCUUGUUGGUGGGGUAGUGGCUUACCAAGGCUUUGACGGGUAGCCGGCCUGAGAGGGUGACCGGCCACAUGGGGACUGAGAUACGGCCCAGACUCCUACGGGAGGCAGCAGUGGGGAAUAUUGCACAAUGGGCGGAAGCCUGAUGCAGCAACGCCGCGUGCGGGAUGACGGCCUUCGGGUUGAAAACCGCUUUCGCCUGUGACGAAGCGUGAGUGACGGUAAUGGGUAAAGAAGCACCGGCUAACUACG